GACGAACGCUGGCGGCGUGCUUAACACAUGCAAGUCGAACGGUGAAGCGCCUUCCUUUUUGGUGGGUGUGGAUGAGUGGCGAACGGGUGAGUAACACGUGAGUAACCUGCCCCCUUCUUCUGGAUAACCGCAUGAAAGUGUGGCUAAUACGGGAUAUUCUGGGUCUGUCGCAUGAUGGGUCUGGGAAAGAUAUUGUUUCGGUGGGGGAUGGGCUCGCGGCCUAUCAGCUUGUUGGUGGGGUGAUGGCCUACCAAGGCGGUGACGGGUAGCCGGCCUGGGAGGGUGGACGGUCACACUGGGACUGAGACACCGGCCAGACUCCUAAGGGAGGCAGCAGGGGGGAAUAUUGCACGAUGGGCGCAAGCCUGAUGCAGCGACGCCGCGUGAGGGAUGGAGGCCUUCGGGUUGUGAACCUCUUUCGCCAGUGAAGCAGGCCUGCCUCGUUUGUGGGUGGGUUGACGGUAGCUGGAUAAGAAGCGCCGGCUAACUACGUG
rnacentral:rRNA from 1 species